CAGGCUCCAAGAGCUUAAGUACCUCACCCUAGGUACCAGGGUACCACACAAAAAACUAGUAAGUAGUGGGGACUCACACCUACCUCUGUCUGACUUAAAGCUCUGCCCUAUCCUACUAUCUAACUGCUUUGGUGCUCACCCUGUCCUUUAAUGCGGUUUUGGUGUUCACCAAGAGAGGCGAUGCAGGAAGAACAAGAACACUGAGGCUGUCCCUCCUUGGCAAUGGCCGUAGGGUCCUGAGUCCUUCAUUCUGAUGUUCUUGGCCCCCCGGAGCCGGCGUCUCCCCAGCUUCCGACCCCAGCCCCAGAAGUCCUGGUCUCAGCACAGCUCCAGCCGACCAGCUACAGGAAACCAGCUUUUCUCUUCCUCCCAAGAGCUAGAGGAAGAGGGAAACCGCCCACCCCCCUUCAGGCGCGCACACACCCCUCCCGACACAUCCCAGCACCCGCCCUUGGCUGAGUUCGCCCCCAGCCCCAGCGCCCCCAUUGCCAGGGUCCCCGCACUCGCCCCCAGUUCUCGGAUCCUCUCGCCUGAACAGAGAAUGGGGGUGGAGGGAGGAGUAGGAGACAGAGGAGAAAGGAGAGGGAACCGCCGUUCCUCUCUCGGGUCUUCCCCAGCCUGAGUUGAGGGGGGGAGGGGAGGAUGAGGCUGGCCCCCAUUUAACCUUCCGACCCCCUCAGUCUCUGACUUUCCUCCUGCUACACGUAGUUCAUUCGGCUUCUACCCGUUCUCUCGCCGCACAAUGGCCCCUACGGAUCCCGAGGUCUCCUGGAGCCCCCCAAAAGCCCUUCCUGGCCUCUGCGCCCCCUCUGCGCCCCCACCCGCCUCAGGUCCCAGCAGCCCACAGACUUCAGCCAGAGACCCUCAGCUCUCCAUUCACGCUCUCUCCUCUCUCUUGGCCCGGAGACCCCUGCCCAGACUUCUCCAGCUCCGUGUGCUCUCCCCACCCGACACAUGUCUCCCCACUGAUCGCAAACGCCAGGGCCCCUCCUCACCCGCCACGGUGCCCUCCCUACUCCAGCGCGGGCCCCCAACUUUAGCGCGGGCCCCCAACUGCAGCUCUAGUCCUUCCAAACUCCACCCUCAAACUCAAACUCUGGUCCCCUCCAGACCCCAGCCGCGCCCCCAGUCUCCAGGCGGCUACCCCACCCCCAUCCCGUCGCCAGCCCUCCUCACUCACCCGUCUGUUCCCGGCCGGUAAAACUCCACUGAGAAUCCGAAGAAGGAGCCCGGGGGCCCCGAGAGCACUGCUGGGGCCUCCGCGUCAAAGUUGAAGCCCCCGACCCUGGGUGGCGGCGGCAGCAGCAGCAGCAGCAGCGGCAGCAGCGGGGGUCGGCGCCGGGGGCCCCAGUGCAGCUGCACGGCGUGGAGAGGGGACUCUGGCGUCCGGCUCCCCAUAGCGCCCGCUCUUCCCUGUCCUGGGGCCACCGACCCGGAGCCGCUUCCUAAACCUCCCAGAGGCGAAUGACUCAACGCGGGGAGGAGUUUGCCAAACUCCCGGCUGAGCCCUCCCCCCGCCUGCCGAGGGGGCUGGCGGGGGGGCAUUCCUGGGUCCCUGGAACUCUGAGCCCGCGUCCCCCACCCCUAAGGGGCGUGGGGGGAGGCGCACCUCUCCAACCCCCUUUCUUUAGCCCCAGCUGGAAGCCGGUUGUCUGGACUGGGUUAGAUUGGGCGGGUUUGGGUUCUUCCCCCUCCUCUCUGCUUCCCCCUCCUUCCUCCCCACUCCUUUCCAGAUGUACAACGUAAACGCUCGGAAAACGAGUCGGAAAAGGGAGCGGAGAAUUUCCUAAUGAGGAAAGGAAUCACCUCUGGUGGGCGGAGGAAGCCUGUAUAUGUGUGUGGGGUCUCCCUCAGUGCUUUAGGGAGGAGACUUUGGGGUCUAAAGAGACAGGAGACUCCUCUGGCGUCCGGCCAACUGGGAUUCCCCCUUGCCUUCCGGGGCCACCGGGUGCCUGGGUUCUAGCCAGCUGGAUUUGGGACACAAGAGUUCAGGUACAGAUACAGCGUUCGCAGUCAGCUUGCUAGAGGACCUAUACCGGCUCCUCAAGUUCCGCUGCCCCCUCCUCCAAGCUGCUAGUAUUGAAAAUCCAGGAGUCUGGGGUCAUUCACCAGGAGGAUUCUGCUCCAGUUUGCCCCCUUCUUGGUCCUACGAACUAUAACUUGAGGAGGAACAAAGCCUUAGAAGAUUCUUAACCCCUGGACUCCAACGUUGAGGCUUACUAAACUGAGAUAAUAGUAUAAAAGAGGCCGGGCACGGUGGCUCAAGCCUGUAGUCCCAGCACUUUGGGAGGCCGAGACGGGUGGAUCACAAGGUCAGGAGAUCGAGACCAUCCUGGCUAA